rnacentral:rRNA from 1 species
UGGGGAAUAUUGCACAAUGGGCGAAAGCCUGAUGCAGCAACGCCGCGUGAGUGAUGAAGGUCUUCGGAUUGUAAAGCUCUGUCUUUUGGGACGAUAAUGACGGUACCAAAGGAGGAAGCCACGGCUAACUACGUGCCAGCAGCCGCGGUAAUACGUAGGUGGCGAGCGUUGUCCGGAUUUACUGGGCGUAAAGGGUGCGUAGGCGGAUGUUUAAGUGAGAUGUGAAAUACCCGGGCUUAACUUGGGUGCUGCAUUUCAAACUGGAUAUCUAGAGUGCAGGAGAGGAGAAUGGAAUUCCUAGUGUAGCGGUGAAAUGCGUAGAGAUUAGGAAGAACACCAGUGGCGAAGGCGAUUCUCUGGACUGUAACUGACGCUGAGGCACGAAAGCGUGGGUAGCAACAGGAUUAGAUACCCUGGUAGUCC